AGUGAACGCUGGCGGUAGGCCUAACACAUGCAAGUCGAACGGCAGCACAGUAAGAGCUUGCUCUUACGGGUGGCGAGUGGCGGACGGGUGAGGAAUACAUCGGAAUCUACUUUUCGUGGGGGAUAACGUAGGGAAACUUACGCUAACACCGCAUACGACCUACGGGUGAAAGCAGGGGAUCUUCGGACCUUGCGCGAUUGAAUGAGCCGAUGUCGGAUUAGCUAGUUGGCGGGGUAAAGGCCCACCAAGGCGACGAUCCGUAGCUGGUCUGAGAGGAUGAUCAGCCACACUGGAACUGAGACACGGUCCAGACUCCUACGGGAGGCAGCAGUGGGGAAUAUUGGACAAAGGGCGCAAGCCUGAUCCAGCCAUACCGCGUGGGUGAAGAAGGCCUUCGGGUUGUAAAGCCCUUUUGUUGGGAAAGAAAAGCAGCAGGUUAAUACCCCGCUGUUCUGACGGUACCCAAAGAAUAAGCACCGGCUAACUUCGUG
rnacentral:rRNA from 1 species